UGAGGAGAUUUAGAGAAUGCCUGUGA
rnacentral:piRNA from 1 species